AACGAACGCUGGCGGCAGGCCUAACACAUGCGAGUCGAACGAAGUCUUCGGACUUAGUGGCGGACGGGUGAGUAACACGUGGGAACGUGCCUUUAGGUUCGGAAUAACUCAGGGAAACUUGUGCUAAUACCGAAUGUGCCCUUCGGGGGAAAGAUUUAUCGCCUUUAGAGCGGCCCGCGUCUGAUUAGCUAGUUGGUGAGGUAACGGCUCACCAAGGCGACGAUCAGUAGCUGGUCUGAGAGGAUGGCCAGCCACACUGGGACUGAGACACGGCCCAGACUCCUACGGGAGGCAGCAGUGGGGAAUCUUGCGCAAUGGGCGAAAGCCUGACGCAGCCAUGCCGCGUGAAUGAUGAAGGUCUUAGGAUUGUAAAAUUCUUUCACCGGGGACGAUAAUGACGGUACCCGGAGAAGAAGCCCCGGCUAACUUCGUGCCAGCCGCCGCAGUAA
rnacentral:rRNA from 1 species